rnacentral:rRNA from 1 species
UACGUAGGGUGCGAGCGUUAAUCGGAAUUACUGGGCGUAAAGCGUGCGCAGGCGGUUCGUUGUGUCGGCGGUGAAAGCCCCGGGCUUAACUUGGGAACUGCGCUCGAAACUACGUGGCUGGAGUGUGGCAGAGGAAGGUGGAAUUCCAGGUGUAGCGGUGAAAUGCGUAGAGAUCUGGAGGAACACCGAUGGCGAAGGCAGCCUUCUGGGCCAACACUGACGCUCAUGCACGAAAGCGUGGGGAGCAAACAGG